rfam:Roseburia intestinalis XB6B4 draft genome.
UUUGGGAGAAAAUUAGAAAAUCUUAGUAUGCCUGUCUAUUUACAGUAAUGUUCUGCCACGGACGGCAGAACAAGGCUUCACGAGCCAUGGAAGGCUCGUUGAAUGCCGUUUACGUCACUCUGUGAAAAACUGAUUCAGGCAUACUUAGUUUUUCUUAUUUUCGGACAAC